GGCCUAGGGGUAUGAUUCUCGCUUUGGGUGCGAGAGGUCCCGGGUUCGAAUCCCGGUUGGGCCC
rnacentral:tRNA from 1 species